AUGAACGCUGGCGGCGUGCUUAACCCCUGCCCGUCGAACGAGAAGUGAAGACGGAAACCUUCGGGCGGAAGGCUUUAUUUCGAGUGGCGGACGGGUGAGUAACGCGUGGGUAACCUGCCUCAUACAGGGGGAUAACAGUUGGAAACGACUGUUAAUACCGCAUAAGACCACAGCACCGCAUGGUGCGGGGGUAAAAACUCCGGUGGUAUGAGAUGGACCCGCGUUCGAUUAGCCAGUUGGCGGGGUAACGGCCCACCAAAGCGACGAUCGAUAGCCGAUCUGAGAGGAUGACCGGCCACAUUGGGACUGAGACACGGCCCAAACUCCUACGGGAGGCAGCAGUGGGGAAUAUUGCACAAUGGGGGAAACCCUGAUGCAGCGACGCCGCGUGAGUGAAGAAGUAUUUCGGUAUGUAAAGCUCUAUAAGCAGGGAAGAAAAUGACGGUACCUGAGGAAGAAGCCCCGGCUAACUACGUG
rnacentral:rRNA from 1 species